rnacentral:lncRNA from 1 species
GUGUGGACUCGGCGUGUCAAAGGGAACCCGGAUUUUAGCUCCAGCUCUGUGGUUCUUAUUUUUGGGGAGAAAUUGCUCACUGAACCUAGCAUGAGAUUGGCUGGCAGCUGAUUCCCCGGGGAUGUGCCCGUCAUUAUGCAACUGUGCUGGCAUUAUUGAUGAUCAUACCAUGCUUUGUUUAUUAAACCCUGUAGGAAUUAUGAAGAGGAGGCUCCACCCACUUCUAAGAUCAUGAAAAGACAGAGCAAAAAGAAGUGCAAUUCCAUCUCUGCCCAACUGGUGGUACAGUACUCUCCGUGCAUGUAACUCUUUCAGUCCUUGCCACCAUUUCUCAGACCACUGCCAGGAAAUCUUCCCCUCACAGAUGAAAAAAUGUCCAUGAGGUGAUGCAAUCUGUCCAGAAUCACACAGCCAGUCGGUGUCAGAGUCUGUGGAGAAAAAGUGAAAUUCCUCUUUUGGUCCCUUUUCUAAUCCUUGCUGCAGAGUAACCUGCUCGUACCCGCACAUCGCACAUUGUGCAGGGUCUGGUUUGUAUGCAUUGGUGCUACAAGUGCCUGUUCUCUUCCUACGCCUUCCAAGGAGGUCAUGUUCUGCAACUCGCUUUUCCUACUUAGCCCCAAACUUAGAAUCUUUACCAUUUGGGUUUUGGUUGAUUUGAUGGUUGAUUGAUUUUUGUUGUUUUUCAAAACAGGGUUUCUCUGUGUAGGGUUUCCCUGGCUGUCCUGGAACAGCUUCUGUAGACCAGGCUGGCCUCCAACUCAGAUAUUCGCCUGCCUCUACCUCCUAAGUGCUAAGACUAAAGGUGUGCGCCACCUCACCCACAUCAGCCCCUAUCAUCUUUAAGAUGGGUAAAGUGAUAGCAGCCAGUGAAUAGGGUUGAAAUGAGACCUGCGUGUGAAGCAAACAGGAAGGGUCUCAUAAGCAUGGAGGUAUCUAUUCACAACCCACAUACUAAGAAGUACUGGAUGGCAAAUUAAAAGGUAUCAAUCUGGGGAAAGAUGGCUCAGCGGGUAAGAACACUGACUGCCCUUCCACAGGGUCCCGAGUUCAACUUCCAGCAACAUGGUGACUCAAACCAUCUGUGUAGCCUCCCCCAGCUUGAGCAGGAUGAUUCAGACCUAUGCUGCCACUGUGAAUGAGACCAUUUGGGGUGGAGCCUUCCGACCUAGAUGGUUCUAUUGCUCUGUCACCUGUGGCUGCUCUUCUCCAAGACACUGCUACCUGCUGAGAGGCUGAACCUGCCUUCCUGAGACAGCCAGCAACCUGGCAAUUGACACCUUACUGCCAACUAGUGCUGUCAGCCUAAUUGCUUACAGGCUGGCGACAGGCAUCAAGAGUGGGUCUGCAGGGGAUGGGCUUUCCCCCUUUAUAAGCACAGACUCUUAGUAAACAUUGGGCUUUGAUC